CGCUAGUGGCCUGGUGGUUAGAGCGUCCGCCUCGAAUGCGGGAGGUCGCGGAUUCAAUCCCCGGCCUAAUUAUACCA